GAGUUUGAUCAUGGCUCAGAUUGAACGCUGGCGGCAGGCUUAACACAUGCAAGUCGAGCGGGGACUUCGGUCCUAGCGGCGAACGGGUGAGGAAUGCUUGGGAAUCUGCCUAGUAGUGGGGGAUAACGUUUCGAAAGGAACGCUAAUACCGCAUACGCCCUACGGGGGAAAGGGGGGGAUCUUCGGACCUCUCGCUAUUAGAUGAGCCCAAGUCGGAUUAGCUAGUUGGUGAGGUAAAGGCUCACCAAGGCGACGAUCCGUAGCUGGUCUGAGAGGAUGAUCAGCCACACUGGAACUGAGACACGGUCCAGACUCCUACGGGAGGCAGCAGUGGGGAAUAUUGGACAAUGGGCGAAAGCCUGAUCCAGCCAUGCCGCGUGUGUGAAGAAGGCCUUCGGGUUGUAAAGCACUUCAAGCGAGGAGGAAUGGCUGAGGGUUAAUAACCUUCAGCAGUGACGUUACUCGCAGAAUAAGCACCGGCUAACUCUGUGCCAGCAGCCGCGGUAAUACAGAGGGUGCAAGCGUUAAUCGGAAUUACUGGGCGUAAAGCGCGCGU
rnacentral:rRNA from 1 species